rnacentral:sRNA from 1 species
CGCAAUAGGAAGCUUGGUUAGUUUUUCGGAGUCAAAUAUGACUAGAUGUCAUGUGUACGAUUGAGUAUAAGAACUAGAACCGCAACUGAUUCCUAAAAACUAAAGUAAUGUUUCUUUGUUAGAAGAUACAAA